CACAUUUACUUAAAAUGUCCAGGCUAGAAGUACUGCCCACACUACUCAACUUAGAGAUCCUUGUGACAAGACAAAGAAAGUGGAUUCAUUUGUUGUUGCUGGGCAAUUCCUUGAGCCAGUCCUUGGAUGAUAAUCAGAAGGAGAAAAGGCAGAGAAGCAGAUGGAGCAAAGGUCAAUGCAGAGAAAGAGACUCAAUAGAACAUCCAGUGCCUCAUCUACCUGAAACUUAUAUAUCUGGCAAUUGGAAUAAUCAGAAUCCAAGUAAGAAUAAGAAGCAAGAAAAAUGCUUUUCGCAUAUGCUGGGUUAGUAAGUGGCUACUUCUGUAUUGUUAUUUUC
rnacentral:lncRNA from 12 species